rnacentral:rRNA from 1 species
GCGUUGCUCGGAAUCACUGGGCGUAAAGCGCACGUAGGCGGCUUUUUACGUCAGGGGUGAAAUCCUGGAGCUCAACUCCGGAACUGCCUUCGAUACUGCGGGUCUCGAGUCCGGGAGAGGUGAGUGGAAUUCCUAGUGUAGAGGUGAAAUUCGUAGAUAUUAGGAAGAACACCAGUGGCGAAGGCGGCUCACUGGCCCGGUACUGACGCUGAGGCGCGAAAGCGUGGGGAGCAAACAGG